GCCCAGAUAGCUCAGUUGGUAGAGCAAGGGACUGAAAAUCCCUGUGUCGGCGGUCCGAUUCCGUCUCUGGGCACCA
rnacentral:tRNA from 1 species